rnacentral:rRNA from 1 species
GACGAACGCUGGCGGCGUGCUUAACACAUGCAAGUCGAACGGAAAGGCCCUGCUUUUGUGGGGUGCUCGAGUGGCGAACGGGUGAGUAACACGUGAGUAACCUGCCCUUGACUUUGGGAUAACUUCAGGAAACUGGGGCUAAUACCGGAUAGGAGCUCCUGCUGCAUGGUGGGGGUUGGAAAGUUUCGGCGGUUGGGGAUGGACUCGCGGCUUAUCAGCUUGUUGGUGGGGUAGUGGCUUACCAAGGCUUUGACGGGUAGCCGGCCUGAGAGGGUGACCGGCCACAUUGGGACUGAGAUACGGCCCAGACUCCUACGGGAAGCAGCAGUGGGGAAUAUUGCACAAUGCGCGGAAGCCUGAUGCAGCAACGCCGCGUGCGGGAUGACGGCCUUCGGGUUGUAAACCGCUUUCGCCUGUGACGAAGCGUGAGUGACGGUAAUGGGUAAAGAAGCACCGGCUAACUACGUG